AUUAGCGACCAAGUUCAGCUCACUACCUGUGGCUGUGCAGACAAUCUACAGUUUUAACUGUUUUGUCCUUCGCUGUGAGGGAAUGCCAGAACUGUGGUGUUUUUUCCGGCGUCCUGGAACGCACCCUGUCUGGUUGCCGGGCAAUGUAGCCAGUUGGGAGUUCUGAUUACCCGCACCUGUAUCCCAUCAGCUAUCUGCACACCUGGUCCUGAUCAUCAUCUCUCCUCUUCAUAAGCCCGGACCUAACAUCCAUUCCCUGCCGGAUCGUUAGCCAUGAACAUUACUCACCCGGAUCAUUUACCCCAUUCCCGCCUGGUCGUCGGAGGAUUCCGCUACCCCGUUGGAUCCACCUAUUUACUCCCAUCAACUCACCACCGCUGCCCGCUACGCCACCUGGAUAUAUCUACCCAUUCACAUUCACUUGUAAAUAAAUACUCACCUUCUUCCUA